rnacentral:rRNA from 1 species
GACGAACGCUGGCGGCGUGCUUAACACAUGCAAGUCGAACGGUGAAGCGCCUUCCUUUUUGGUGGGUGUGGAUGAGUGGCGAACGGGUGAGUAACACGUGAGUAACCUGCCCCCUUCUUCUGGAUAACCGCAUGAAAGUGUGGCUAAUACGGGAUAUUCUGGGUCUGUCGCAUGAUGGGUCUGGGAAAGAUAUUGUUUCGGUGGGGGAUGGGCUCGCGGCCUAUCAGCUUGUUGGUGGGGUGAUGGCCUACCAAGGCGGUGACGGGUAGCCGGCCUGAGAGGGGGGAGGGCCAGAGGGGGGCGGAGCCCGGCCCGGGACUCAGAGGGGGGGCAGAGGGGGGAAGUAGGGAACAGGGGGGGAGAGCGUGAUGCGGGGGGGCGGUGGGGGGAGGGGGGGCCUGGGGGUGGUGACCCUCUUUGGCGGGUAAAGCGGGCCUGCCUGGUGUGUGGGGGGGUUGAGGGUAUCGGAAAAAGAAGCGCCGGCUAACUACGUG